rnacentral:lncRNA from 1 species
UUAACUCUUGAAGCAUAUUUUGGUUUUUGGUUGUGUUGUGAGCAUUUGGUCAUGAAUUAAAAUGAAGGAAAUGGUUGUUGUUUCAUGUUCUUUUGAUGAAAAAUGGAAGAUAGGUGAAGUUGAGCCAAACAAAUGAUCAUGCAUGUGCCUUAGAUGCUAAAGGGAAAAAUCGGCUAACAUGUUGUGCUUUAAAAUGAUGAAAUGGAG